rnacentral:rRNA from 1 species
UGAGGAAUAUUGGACAAUGGGCGCAAGCCUGAUCCAGCCAUGCCGCGUGCAGGAUGACGGUCCUAUGGAUUGUAAACUGCUUUUGUACAGGAAGAAACAGUUCUACGUGUAGAACCUUGACGGUACUGUAAGAAUAAGGAUCGGCUAACUCCGUGCCAGCAGCCGCGGUAAUACGGAGGAUCCAAGCGUUAUCCGGAAUCAUUGGGUUUAAAGGGUCCGUAGGCGGUUAGAUAAGUCAGUGGUGAAAGCCCAUCGCUCAACGGUGGAACGGCCAUUGAUACUGUCUGACUUGAAUUAUUAGGAAGUAACUAGAAUAUGUAGUGUAGCGGUGAAAUGCUUAGAGAUUACAUGGAAUACCAAUUGCGAAGGCAGAUUACUACUAAUGGAUUGACGCUGAUGGACGAAAGCGUGGGUAGCGAACAGGAUUAGAUACCCAAGUAGUCCCUGAGCGGGCUGGCAAGGCGCAU